AACAACGGCAAGUCGAGCGGUAGCACAGAGAGCUUGCUCUCGGGUGACGAGCGGCGGACGGGUGAGUAAUGUCUGGGAAACUGCCUGAUGGAGGGGGAUAACUACUGGAAACGGUAGCUAAUACCGCAUAAUGUCGCAAGACCAAAGUGGGGGACCUUCGGGCCUCAUGCCAUCAGAUGUGCCCAGAUGGGAUUAGCUAGUAGGUGGGGUAACGGCUCACCUAGGCGACGAUCCCUAGCUGGUCUGAGAGGAUGACCAGCCACACUGGAACUGAGACACGGUCCAGACUCCUACGGGAGGCAGCAGUGGGGAAUAUUGCACAAUGGGCGCAAGCCUGAUGCAGCCAUGCCGCGUGUGUGAAGAAGGCCUUCGGGUUGUAAAGCACUUUCAGCGGGGAGGAAGGCGUUAAGGUUAAUAACCUUGGCGAUUGACGUUACCCGCAGAAGAAGCACCGGCUAACUCCGUGCCAGCAGCCGCGGUAAUACGGAGGGUGCAAGCGUUAAUCGGAAUUACUGGGCGUAAAGCGCACGCAGGCGGUCUGUCAAGUCGGAUGUGAAAUCCCCGGGCUCAACCUGGGAACUGCAUUCGAAACUGGCAGGCUAGAGUCUUGUAGAGGGGGGUAGAAUUCCAGGUGUAGCGGUGAAAUGCGUAGAGAUCUGGAGGAAUACCGGUGGCGAAGGCGGCCCCCUGGACAAAGACUGACGCUCAGGUGCGAAAGCGUGGGGAGCAAACAGGAUUAGAUACCCUGGUAGUCCACGCCGUAAACGAUGUCGAUUUGGAGGUUGUGCCCUUGAGGCGUGGCUUCCGGAGCUAACGCGUUAAAUCGACCGCCUGGGGAGUACGGCCGCAAGGUUAAAACUCAAAUGAAUUGACGGGGGCCCGCACAAGCGGUGGAGCAUGUGGUUUAAUUCGAUGCAACGCGAAGAACCUUACCUGGUCUUGACAUCCACAGAACUUUCCAGAGAUGGAUUGGUGCCUUCGGGAACUGUGAGACAGGUGCUGCAUGGCUGUCGUCAGCUCGUGUUGUGAAAUGUUGGGUUAAGUCCCGCAACGAGCGCAACCCUUAUCCUUUGUUGCCAGCGGUCCGGCCGGGAACUCAAAGGAGACUGCCAGUGAUAAACUGGAGGAAGGUGGGGAUGACGUCAAGUCAUCAUGGCCCUUACGACCAGGGCUACACACGUGCUACAAUGGCAUAUACAAAGAGAAGCGACCUCGCGAGAGCAAGCGGACCUCAUAAAGUAUGUCGUAGUCCGGAUUGGAGUCUGCAACUCGACUCCAUGAAGUCGGAAUCGCUAGUAAUCGUAGAUCAGAAUGCUACGGUGAAUACGUUCCCGGGCCUUGUACACACCGCCCGUCACACCAUGGGAGUGGGUGCAAAAGAAGUAGGUAGCUUAACCUUCGGGAGGGCGCUUACCACUGGUG
rnacentral:rRNA from 1 species